GAUGAACGCUGGCGGCGUGCCUAAUACAUGCAAGUCGAGCGAACAGAUGAGGAGCUUGCUCCUCUGACGUUAGCGGCGGACGGGUGAGUAACACGUGGAUAACCUACCUAUAAGACUGGGAUAACUUCGGGAAACCGGAGCUAAUACCGGAUAAUAUAUUGAACCGCAUGGUUCAAUAGUGAAAGACGGUUUUGCUGUCACUUAUAGAUGGAUCCGCGCCGCAUUAGCUAGUUGGUAAGGUAAAGGCUUACCAAGGCAACGAUGCGUAGCCGACCGGAGAGGGUGAUCGGCCACACUGGAACUGGAACACGGUCCAGACUCCUACGGGAGGGAGCAGUAGGGAAUCUUACGCAAUGGGCGAAAGCCUGACGGAGCAACGCCGCGUGAGUGAUGAAGGUCUUCGGAUCGUAAAACUCUGUUAUUAGGGAAGAACAAAUGUGUAAGUAACUAUGCACGUCUUGACGGUACCUAAUCAGAAAGCCACGGCUAACUACGUG
rnacentral:rRNA from 1 species